rnacentral:antisense_RNA from 1 species
AGUCAUAAUUGCUAUUCUCUGCAAAUAGGGAUUGUGAUGAGCGAUGCGGGUGUGCUCGAACACAUCCGCAUCGCGCU